CCUACGGGGGGCAGCAGUAGGGAAUCUUCGGCAAUGGACGAAAGUCUGACCGAGCAACGCCGCGUGAGUGAAGAAGGUUUUCGGAUCGUAAAACUCUGUUGUUAGAGAAGAACAAGGAUGAGAGUAACUGUUCAUCCCUUGACGGUAUCUAACCAGAAAGCCACGGCUAACUACGUGCCAGCAGCCGCGGUAAUACGUAGGUGGCAAGCGUUGUCCGGAUUUAUUGGGCGUAAAGCGAGCGCAGGCGGUUUCUUAAGUCUGAUGUGAAAGCCCCCGGCUCAACCGGGGAGGGUCAUUGGAAACUGGGAGACUUGAGUGCAGAAGAGGAGAGUGGAAUUCCAUGUGUAGCGGUGAAAUGCGUAGAUAUAUGGAGGAACACCAGUGGCGAAGGCGGCUCUCUGGUCUGUAACUGACGCUGAGGCUCGAAAGCGUGGGGAGCAAACAGGAUUAGAUACCCCAGUAGUC
rnacentral:rRNA from 1 species